AGCAAGGUAGUUUAUAGUAAAACGAUUGGUUGUGGUCCAUGAUAAGGAUUAGAGGUCCCCUUGUUA
rnacentral:tRNA from 1 species